AUUGAACGCUGGCGGCAUGCUUUACACAUGCAAGUCGAACGGUAACAGGCCUUCGGGUGCUGACGAGUGGCGAACGGGUGAGUAAUGCAUCGGAACGUGCCCAAUCGUGGGGGAUAACGUAGCGAAAGUUACGCUAAUACCGCAUAAGCCCUGAGGGGGAAAGCAGGGGAUCGCAAGACCUUGCGCGAAUGGAGCGGCCGAUGUCAGAUUAGCUAGUUGGUGGGGGUAAAGGCCUACCAAGGCGACGAUCUGUAGCGGGUCUGAGAGGAUGAUCCGCCACACUGGGACUGAGACACGGCCCAGACUCCUACGGGAGGCAGCAGUGGGGAAUUUUGGACAAUGGGCGCAAGCCUGAUCCAGCCAUGCCGCGUGCAGGAAGAAGGCCCUAUGGGUCGUAAACUGCUUUUACACCGGAGAAAACCUCCCCUCGUGAGGGGAGCUGAUAGUAUGGUGAGAAUAAGCAUCGGCUAACUUCGUGCCAGCAGCCGCGGUAAAG
rnacentral:rRNA from 1 species